rnacentral:rRNA from 1 species
UACGUAGGCAGCAAGCGUUGUUCGGAGUUACUGGGCGUAAAGAGUAUGUAGGCGGUUGCGUAAGUUCGGUGUGAAAUCUCCUGCUUAACUGGGAGGGUGCGCCGAAAACUGCGUGGCUUGAGUGCGGGAGAGGAGAGCGGAAUUCCUGGUGUAGCGGUGAAAUGCGCAGAUAUCAGGAGGAACACCAAUGGCGAAGGCAGCUCGCUGGGACGGUACUGACGCUGGAGGAGCGAAAGCGUGGGGAGCGAACAGG